rnacentral:ncRNA from 1 species
AUGCAUUGGAUGGAUGCCCGGGCAUUUAGAAGGAAGGACGCUUUCAGAGGUGAAAGGCCAUGGGGAGAGAGAGCAUCCGUGAUCCAUGGAUCUCCGAUCGGGAAACCGUAUCCAAGCUCCGUGGCUAGUCUGCGCUCUUUGGACUUUUCAAACUUAGCGAACUAAAACAUCUGAGUAGCUAAAGGAAGGAAAAUCAACCGAGACCCCGUUAGUAGCGGCGAGCGAGAGCGGAACAAGGGUUUUCAUCAAAAGAAAUCCGGAGCAGUUUCAUUCGAUUUGUUGUGGAUUGGAUGAUGGAAAAACUAGCAAGCAGCAAGCGUAGGCUAUGUUGCCGUAGCGCGCCCUACGGAGUUGUACAAAGUCAGCAACCAUUUUGGGGCGCAAGCAUAGGCAACACAGGACUGAUGACGGGGUGGGGCGCGCAGUGAACUGGUUUUCUAAAAAGAUUGGAAGAUCCGGCCAAAGAAGGUGAUAGCCCUGUUCAUUUGUUCCCAUGGUUCGAUCCUUCCCAGUAAAACGCGGCGUGUUCGAAUGAUGAUCGCUUUUACGCGAGAAAGGGGGACCACCCUCUAAGCCUAAGUAUUCCUUAAUGACCGAUAGCAUACAAGUACCGUGAGGGAAAGGUGAAAAGAACCCCAAUCGGGGAGUGCAAUAGAGAACUUGAGAUCCGAUGCGAACAAUCACUCGAAGGAGCGAAGCGCGGGCGCACUCACUCUAACGGCGUACCUUUCGCAUGAUGGGUCAGCGAGGAAAUGGGAACAGCGGCUUAAGCCAUUAGGUGUAGGCGCUUUCCAGAGGUGGAAGAUUUACGUUCUUCCUAUUUGACCCGAAACCGAUCGAUCUAGCCAUGAGCAGGUUGCAGAGAGCUCUAACAGGCCUUGGAGGACCGAACCCACAUAUGUGGCAAAAUACGGGGAUGACUUGUGGCUAGGGGUGAAAGGCCAACCAAGAUUGGAUAUAGUUGUUUUUCCGCGAAAUCUAUUUCAGUAGAGCGUAUGAUGUCGUUUGCCUGAGGUAGAGCACUUGGGUGCUAAGAUCCGAAGUCGAGAGGGAAAUAGCCCAGAUCGUACGCUAAGGUCCCUAAGCAAUCACUUAGUGGAAAAGGAAGUGAUCGAGCGAUGACAACCAGGAGGUGGGCUUGGAAGCAGCCAUCCUUUGAAGAAAGCGUAAUAGCUCACUGGUCUAGCACCAUGGCACCGAAAAUGUCUCAGGUCUCAAGUGAUCCACCGAAGCGACGAGACCUUGAAAGCUGCUUUUUCAAGUGUCAGUAGCGGGACGUUCUGUCAAUCGGGGAAGGUUUUUGGUGACAAGACCUGGAGAUAUCAGAAGUGAGAAUGCUGACAUGAGUAACGAGAAAUCCUGUGAAAAACACGAUCGCCUGCCAGUGGAAGGCUUUCUGCGUUCAGUCAAUCUACGCAGAGUGAAUCGGUCCCUAAGGAAACCCCGAAAGGGCUGCCGUCCGAUGGGUACACUAAAGUGACGAAGUUGCUUUGACUACUGAACCAUGCCUGGAUCGUCGGAGCGAAUUGGAUGAUCGAGCCGAGGGCUGCCCCCUCUUCCCCUCGCUCUCCUUUCCUUAAUAUUCACCGUCAAGUCAUCAAAGCCGUCAACUAAUUCAGAGGGGCUCAGCUGGCCCGGUCGCCCUACGCUACUGGCGCUUCCUAAGGCGAAGCUCUCGUCUUUGGCAACCAGCAAACUCAGGGCUAAAACCUGUAGUUUUGAAGCAAGGGAUGAGUGCGAAAGCCAUUGCGCUUCCGUACACGUGCAUACGUUUUCUUGCUUCGUCGCGCGUUAGUACAAUAACGCACAGCCGUUUUCUUGCUGGGGCGGACACGGAUUUCUCUCUAAAGGCGAAGACUCAGAAGUGGGCGAACACUCGGCCCAGCGGGCGAACAUGCCGGCUCCGGCUCCGCGCACCUGUUGACACCUUUCGAAGCACUUUCACGUGUGAACCGAAGUCGUCUUGCCGAACUCCUUCCUUUCUUAUUUCAGUCCUUGCCUUUUUCAUCUUCCGUAGGGGCCUUUAGUCUUUUGAUUAGACUAGAGGUCGCGAGAGAGCAGAGCGUACCGCCCUUCCAUAGUCACGAGGAUCUUAAUAGUCGGUCGCGACUAUUGUCAUAGUCAACGACGGUUGAAACUUCUUGGAAAAAACUUCGAAUUGGGAGGGCGAUCCUCCCGGUGAGCUGACCGUACCCCAAACCGACACAGGUGAACAAGUAGAGUAUACUAGGGCGCAUCGAGAGAACCAUGUCGAGAACUCGGCAAAAUGACCCCAUAACUUCGGGCCCAACUAUCCCACCUGAACUAACCAGUUCAUUAAGCCAAUUUAGGGUGAGAAUAAUCACGGUGAAUCUG